UCCCAACUUAGCCCAUGACAAGCUCUCGUGAUCAACGAAGGAAUAGACCUUCACCCGAGACACUCCGAUCAGACUCGGUAUCCCGGUACAUCAAGACAUUUCGACAAUGGUAAAACAAGACCAGCAAGACCUCCCGGCGUGCCGACAUCCUGGUAGUAGCCGCGCGUAUCUCGUCUCAGGCCACGACCGGAUGAGCAGUACGUACAACUAGAACCAGACCUCAAGUUUCCCCAAGGUGGCGCUGCAAGUGGCUCUAGUUUGGACCAACACUUAGACAAGCAUUGGCCCGGGGGGGCUAAAAUAAAGAUGACCCUUGGGUUAAUUACUCCCAAGGGAAAUAUAGGUGGUGGUGAGGCAAAUGGUAAAACCAAUGUUGGGCCUUGCUGGAGGAGUUUUAUUCAAAGCGAACUGUCAAGGGGGUCCCAUAAAUCACCCGACCGCGUAAGGAACGCAAAAUCCGGGAACAUAACACCGGUAUGACGGAAACUAGGGCGGCAAGAGUGGAACAAAACACCAGGCAUAAGGCCGAGCCUUCCACCCUUUACCAAGUAUAUAGAUGCAUUAAUAAUAUAAGAGAUAUUGUGAUAUCCCAACAUAACCCUGUCCACCAUGGAGAAAUCUUCAACUUCACCUGUAGCUAGCAACGCUAUAAGAGGGGCUGAGCAAAACGGUAACAUAGCCAAUCAAUGGUUUGCUAGGAAUGGUGUCAAAGGUUAGAGGUUCAUGGCAAUUUGGGAGGCUGACAAGCAAAUGGUAGGCAUCGUAGCAUUGGCAUAGCAAAAGAGCGAGCAAACUAGCAUAGCAAAGAUAGUAGUGAUUUCGAGGGUAAGAUCAUCUUGCCUGAAAUCCCGCAAGGAAGAAGAACGAUUCCAUGAAGAAGACAAACGGACGUAGUUGAACGAAUCCUCACAACUCCGGAACGAAACCGAAGCUAACGGGAGAAGCAACCCGGAAAGAAACAAACAACAUGGUAAACACACAAGCAUAAUCAUGGCAUGAUGCACAAACAAGUAUGAUGCAUGCCCGGUUUAAAUAGCAUGACAUGGCAAAAUGCACAAAACAAACUUACAAAUUAAGUGGAGCUCAAUAUGCAACGAAGUGGCAUAUUGAAGAAAACACCACAUGACUCAUUUAGUUCUCUCUCGUUAUGCUACCAAAAUAUUAAGUAUUGGUUAACAUGGCAAGUGGUGAAGCAUAACAAAAACUAUACCAUCUAAACAAUUUAAAUGGGGCCGGAUAUAAAAACAACAAAUCCGGUAAAUCCCCAUAUGUCUUUUAGUAGUUAAUGCAAACACAAUUUUAAGCAUUUAAAUGUUGUUAUCAUGAUGCGGAUGACAUAUGCAAGUUUAUACAAUUUUAAGAAAAUGUUGACAUGAGCAUGAUACGAGGCAUUUGUCGCUAUGGCGGAACAAAACGGGUGCCACGACAACGAAUCCGAAAAUGAUGCCACGGCAACAUAUCGGUUCCGAUAGCUCACGGAGAUACCGGUGCAAAAGGAGGCGUGCGGAUGCAUGCACGGAUGGUGGGGUGGUCCCGGAUUCCGGGUGUCCCACAUAAUGGUGGCAUGGCAGUAGAGGAACGUGCAAAGACAAUUCGGUCACGGUGCAAACACGGGCAUCUCAUACAACAUGCAUUCGGUCCACGGCGGUCGUUUCGGGUAUACCUUCGAAGUGUUCAAACGGGACGGCUCGCGUUUCGUAGAGGGAAGUAGUCGUUCACGGGCCGACGGUAGUGGUACAUCUCGUAGACGUUCACGGGCCGUAGUGGGAAGUAGUCAUACACGGCGUAGUGGAAGUCGUUGUUCAUGUGGCGACGGUAGUUGAACACAUUUUCGUAGAUGUCCGGGCGGCGGUAGAGGUACUUGACCGUCCAUGUAGUCGAACUAGCGCAUCCGAAGGGGUACUUGGUGAAUCCGAAGUAGAGGUACACUUGUUGAAGCAGGACUUGGUGCAUCCACGGUAUUCGGGCGUAGUGGUACUCAUUUUGUAGAUGAACUUGACGGGACAUGGUUGUCGUGGUACUUGACAUUCAUGGGGUCUCGGUCUUGGCGUCCGUGCGGUAGCCACGAGCUCAUGGCCUACAGCAGCAGCAAGGUGCAUAACGGGACAGAGACGCCGGGCGCUGAUGGUGGUGGAGCAGUGGCUUCACGCGAACAGGGCCGCAGUGAUGCUGAUGGUGGUGGAGGCGAGCGACGGCGAGAGGAUGCAGCAUCUUCUGCUGCUGCCGGCGGCGAGGCCGAGGCGGUGCGGUUCCAGGGGCGGCGAGGAGGAGGUCGAGCGUGGCGCUCCUGGUCGCAGCGACCGGAGGGGCGACGGGGCAGGACGGUGGCGGGGCCUGGCUUCGGCGGAGGUGGAGAGGCGCGGGGCGGCGCGGUGCAGAGGCGAAGGCCAACGGCGACGAGCUUCUGCUGCGGGUCGGGACGAAGGCGAGCUCCGACGGCAGGGCUUGGCGGCAGGAGGUGCAGCAAGGCAGGACGGCUCGAGCACGAGGAGGCCGACGAGCAUGGCGCAGGCGGAGCAAGGGAGGCGAGGGAGGCGAGCGUGGGGGAUCGGGCACGGGGAAGAUGGAGAUAGAGGAAAAGGGAGAGGGGAUCGAGCGUGCGGGUGUGGCGGCGGGCACGGGAACGAGAGGAAGAGAAGCUGCGAGGGGAUCGGGCUAGGGUUAGGAAACUUGUGGGGGCGGCUGGGCCUCAAGGAAUUUGGAUGGGCCGGCGCGGGAGGUGUGGCUGCUGGGCUGCAGGGCUCCUUCUCUCUCUCUAACUCUAAUUCUCUUAUCAAAACAGAAAAUAAACAGAAAGAAAAAGGGAAGAAAAGAAAGGUUAGAGAAAGAGUUGGGCACGGGGAUAAUUUCCACGGACUCGUAAAAAUAUGCUCGUUCCAAGAAAAAUAGAAAGGCCACGAUUGAAAGAUUUAAAUUCAAACUCAUUUGAAUUUAAUUCAAAUGGGUUUGAACUAGGACUUGAUAAAAGGAAGGUCCAAAAAUGUUCGGAUUUUUGGUGGAGCUCCGGAAUAUGAUAAAAGAAUAAAUGGCAAAGUUGGAGAUCAAGAAUUGAGAUAACGACGACAUGGGAUAUUUUGCAAGUGUGUUAUGGUGAAUUCCAAAAAUGGAAUAUUUAUUAUAGCUCUCUAAAUAUCGAGAGGAUAUGUUUUAAAGAGAAUCACCAUGUGAAUUCCCUCGAUUUAAAUGGACCAAAGAUCCAUGCCAUUUAUUUAGAUGAGUUGCAAAAGAUUUAUGAGAUGGUGGCAUGAUGACAUGAUGCAAUGCAAAAAUAAAAGGGCAUGCACAAAUGAAACACACGGCGAAACCCGGAAUAUAUGGAAGUCUUCUGGAGCGUCGGUCUCGGGGCAUUACAACACUCCACCACUACAAGAGGAUCUCGUCCCGAGAUCUAGAAUGGCACCGGAGGGAAAACGGAAGAGAAAAAGAAAGGUAAAACUAAGUUGCUUCUUUGACAAACGAGUGAAACCAUGAACCUGAGAGGUUGAAAAAUUGAAAGAAAGAACACAACGGAGUUAACCACAAUUGAGAGCACUACGGUAGAAAAGAGAAACAAGGAACACCAUGUGAACCUUGGAGGUUGCAAAGCUGUGAAUGCCGAGUACAAUGGACAAGAAGGAAUUGGAACCACUCUGGUUGAAACGAGAGGCAAAACUUGAUAAGAUGAAAGAACUUGAAUGAGAACACAACACUCCGGUUAAAUGGAUAAGCAAGAAAAUGAAUAAACAUGAUCUUGAGAAAACGAGAUGAUGGGUCAACGAGAGCAAAAUCACAAUGCCUCCGGAAGAAAGAAUCGAAGAUAGAUCAUUGGAAUAAUCGAAUGUAGAAGAAAACAACAUGUACUACCUCAAAUGAAUUUGAGAGAGCAUCUUUAAAAAGAAGGAUUGAACGGAGUUGUUGGAAAACCAACAACAAAACGAAAAGAAUAAGCUUGUAGUGGGCUUAUGGAAACAUCUCAAAAUUAUGAGGUGACAAACAGCCACUAACGGAAAUACUUGAUUUGACUGAGAGCACCAAAGAGAUGAAAAACUUCUUCACCGAGAUGAGAAGGAGAAAAUUGGAUCAUUGAUAAGCACCACAAAUAGCUACAUUCCUUAGGGAAGGCUGUAAGUGAGAUAUAACCCAAUAUAACUCCAACGAAGAAGUUGAUUGGUCGAAAAGAUCUCUUGAACGAAGAGAAAAUGAUGGAUUUAAAAUACCUCAUUCUUGACAACAUAUGCAUCAUGAAACAUGAAGAGAAAUUGUCAAGAAUGACAUAACACCACCUGAAAAGAUGAGGUCGAAAGAAUUGCACUUUGGAAUGCAAGAUGAAGAAUGCUUGAACUCCUCAAAACAAGACAUGUGUUGAACACCAUGUUUAAUUUUUGAGUAUAGCUUGGCUGAUCAUAACUACAAGAGAAAUCUUGAAGAACAAUUGAAGAAUGAAAAGAAUCCUUGAUGAACCACCAUGUAGAGCAUCCAUGUAGAACUCCGAUAAAAACAAGGAUGAUAAAAAGAAAGAGAACUUGAAAACACAAGGUGAAGCCUUGCGAUGAUUUAGAUGGAGCUUCGUGACGAGAUAAUGCGGAAAACUUGGAACUCCGGAAAAAGAAAAGAUGAAACAACUGAAACCAAGGAUUACUUUAUCAUAAACAAUCUCCGGAAGAAAAAGAAUUGAAUCACCUUGAGGAAAUAAGAAUAAGAUUUAUUGUAUACUUACCCUUCAUCAAAUUAAAUUGAUGACAAGCAAUGGAUUUGGCAUACUACUUAUUCUCGUAGAAAGGAUUAAGAGAGAUAUAGUGCAAAACUUGAGAAGGUAUUGGUGGAACCACCGAUAGGAUUUGGAAACAACGAAUGAAUUAAUAUGAUAACGAAGGAAGUGAAAUCUUGAACGAACCACCGGUAAAAUUUGGAGAAUGAUAGCUGAAAGCUGAGAAUGAAGAAUUAUGACAUGAUGGCCUUCGGAGGAAAGAAAUGGAAACAACUCAUGAAACGCUUCGGACGAGUGAAAAAAAUUCUCACAAUCGAAAACAAUUAUGAGAGGAUGGCAUAAAGCUAGAACCAUGAAUAUUUAAAUGAAUGGACCAAGAUUUAAGAGAAAUCCUUCUUCGGUCUUUAAAUGAUGACGAGAAACAACACCAAAAUUACUGAGAUACUCCGAAAGAAUGAAAAAGAGGAAGGGUUGCACCAAAGAUUAAAAGAAUUUGAAAGAGAUCUUGGAGAAGGCAUGUGACAGAUGGGAUCCAUUCUUACGUCACAAAUGAAAAGAAUUUGAGAAAAGCUCCGGGGAAUUAGAAGAGUCAGGUAAGAUCCUGGGGAAAAGACCUGUGGGUUAGGGCCCACUCAAAAGAACACCGUUGAAAAGAUUUAAAAGAGAUGUUGCACCGGUUGAAUUAAACGACUUGAAUGAGAUACCAAUCUCGAAAGAGCUUGAACGAAUGCAGAGUGGAAACACGAAUCUUCGAGGUAUCUUGAGCACUCCGGAAUAACAAAUAGCGAGAAGUAGAAUGAUAAUGAGGUGCUCCGGUAUGAGAAGACAUUGAAAUGAGGAAAAAUGUAUGAUCAACAAAACUUGACUUGAAUCCACCGGAGAAGAGAAAGGAAUGAGGAAUGACGAACUAGUAGAACAUCUUCUUGAGAACCACCGGGUAAGAACAUUGACGAAAAAGAAUGGAGAAACUUGAUAAAAAAUAAAAGGAUACUUGGUAAAGAAAUCUUAGUCCUUGAGGAAAAAGGGUGGGUGGGCGGGAAAAAACAAAGGCAACUUGGAGACGGAUGAAACAAACACCGUUGAGAAGAAAUGAUAAUUGGUCUUGCUGAUGUUGAAGUGAUCAGAUCCACUUGAAGAGAAACACGCCGGUUGAAAAGGAUUGACAUGGCAAUCUCGAUUGUCGAGAAGGAUUGGUAUUCACAUCGAAGUAUGGGAACACCAUUUCGGAAAGAUAUGGAAUCAACACUCGACAUUGAAGCAACUCGAAUACCACAACUCAAAACAAAAACAAAGGACUGGCUUGCAGAAUAAGCCGGAACAAAUACAUAUGAUAGAGAUUUACCCAAUCCCAUAUCAUGCAUAUGUCGAAAAGAUAUUCUAGGAGCUACUUGAAUUCCCACCUAUAAACUCCCGAAACUUUCUGGUUAUGCAAUCUGGUGUUGGGGAUACAGGGGAAGCAAUAUAUCUCACCCAAACUAACAAUCCCUAGAUCCAGCUAUAUCCAUUCGUCAACACAUAACCAAGAAAACUCCGGAAAUCGUGUACCUCAACCUUCGAAAAGCAUCUGUUAUACGAGUCAUGGCAAUACUCCCUUACUCACCUCAGUACUGGGUUAUCGGGGUUAUCUCACCAACAACUGCAUAAAAGAGAUUUUCGAUGUCGGCGUACUAAACUCAGGUGUUCCAGAACUGCAACGAUAAAAUUAUGACGACAACACCUCAGAGCUCAACUCCCCGGGAUACUUCCACUAAACCCCUGGCAGGAGGCACCAAGACAAUGUUCUCAUCAUAAAACCAUCGGAACGAUUCCAAGAUACCCGCGUGAUCCUAAAAAAAAUUAGUGAAAUUUGAGGAGAGAAAAGUCAAAACUUCUACGUCAGGAGACCUCACCAGAGCGAGGAAGGGACUGAGGAGUAAAAAGAAUUCCUAACUCUUCGAUAUAUAUAAUCCUAAAUGACUCAAAACAUUUUUCUAGACACAACUCGGUCGCUAAAAACGAUCAAGCAGUGGGGCUCCUAAGGUCGGGGAAGGCUCUGAUUACCAACUUGUAACACCCUCGAUGCGGCUAUAUCUCCCACGUGUCGAAGCACGACUUAGAGGCAUAACCGCAUUGAAAGCAAUGUCGCAAGUGAGGUAAUCUUCACACAACCCAUGUAAUACAUAAGGGAAAGAGAUACAUAGUUGGCUUACAAUCGCCACUUCACACAAUUACAUGAAUAAAGCAUUACAUCAUUCAGAUACAAUCAAGGUCCAACUACGGAACCAAAAUAAAAGAAGAACCCCAAAUGCGACAAAGGUCCCCGAUCGACCCCAACUGGGCUCCACUACUGAUCAACUAGAACGAAACAACACAAAGGGCAAGAUCUUCACCGAGAUCCUCCUUGAGCUAGGUUGUGUCACCUGCUUGGUAACAUAGGCUCCUGCAAACUGGUUUUGGAAGUAUCUGUGAGCCACGGGGACUCAGCAAUCUCGCACCCGCGAGAUCAAGAUUAUUUAAGCUUAUGGCUAAGGUAAAGGCAUGAGGUGGAGCUGCAGCAAGCGACUAGCAUAUAUGGUGGCUAACAUACGCAAAUGAGAGCGAGAAGAGAAGGCAAAGCACGGUCGAUAAAAGUAUGAUCAAGAAGUGAUCCUAUAGCAACCUACGUCAAGCAUAACUCCAACACUGUGUUCACUUCCCGGACUCCGCCGAGAAGAGACCAUCACGGUUACACACGCAGUUGAUGUAUUUUAAUUAAGGUCAGCUUCGGGUUUUCUACAACCGAACAUUAACAAAUUCCCAUCUGCCACAUAACCGCGGGCACGGCUCUCGAAAGUUUAUACCCUGUAGGGGUGUCCCAACUUAGCCCAUGACAAGCUCUCGCGAUCAACGAAGGAAUAGACCUUCACCCGAGAGACUCCGAUCAGACUCGGUAUCCCGGUACAUCAAGACAUUUCGACAAUGGUAAAACAAGACCAGCAAGACCUCCCGGCGUGCCGACAUCCUGAUAGUAGCCGCGCGUAUCUCGUCUCAGGCCACGACCGGAUGAGCAGUACGUACAACUAGAACCAGACCUCAAGUUUCCCCAAGGUGGCACUGCAAGUGGC
rnacentral:lncRNA from 1 species